ACGGAGGGUGCAAGCGUUAUCCGGAUUCACUGGGUUUAAAGGGUGCGUAGGUGGGUUGGUAAGUCAGUGGUGAAAUCUCCGAGCUUAACUUGGAAACUGCCAUUGAUACUAUCAGUCUUGAAUAUUGUGGAGGUCAGCGGAAUAUGUCAUGUAGCGGUGAAAUGCUUAGAUAUGACAUAGAACACCAAUUGCGAAGGCAGCUGGCUACUCGAGUAUUGACACUGAGGCACGAAAGCGUGGGGAUCAAACAGGAUUAGAUACCCUGGUAGUCCACGCCCUAAACUAUGGAUACUCGACAUUUGCGAUACACAGCAAGUGUCUGAGCGAAAGCAUUAAGUAUCCCACCUGGGAAGUACGAUCGCAAGAUUG
rnacentral:rRNA from 1 species